rnacentral:lncRNA from 1 species
AAAAUAUCUUUUAUUUUAAUAACUACAUAGCAUUUACCUUAAUGCUCCAUCUCUACUUAGGCUUCUCUUCUGAGACGCUUAAGUGAAGCCCAGUUUUGUAUAUCAUAAACACAAGUGCAUCCCUGUACAUUCAUUUUUCUUUACAACAACACAUUCCUGGGAGUGUAUUUGCUGGGUCUGGCAAUGCUAGUAUUCCUCAGGUAAGCUAGUGUGCACACCGAUAGCUCUCCUCUUUGCCAGGAUGCAGGUGCCUAACAUCAUCUUUCUAUCAAUUAACAUUUCAAUCUCAAUGAAAUAAUGCCAUGGGUGUAUGUUCACACAUUUUUGUGGAGAAAGACUCCCAGAGUCCCUCCUCAUCAUUGUGGUUUUCUAUUAUCAAAUAUCAAGGUACAAGAGAUCUUUUUGUGUCUUUUCCAUGACCCAUUCUAAGACAGCUCCCCAGGUGAACACACAGCAUGAAUGAAAGGUGGUCACAGGGAAGGGACAGAAUGGGAGAGGUAGACCAUCAGUCACGCUGGGCACCUUGGUGGGCUCAGCCAGGACACACUGGCGGGAAGCCCAUCUAAAUGACACUGACCACCUUGUUGAAGAGCUAGCAUAUGCAAGCAGGAGGCCUCUCCCAUGCCACACACUCAGAUUGAGAAAUUCAGGAGAAAACUCACCUUGCAGAGAUGGCCAGAAAAUGGGAUUAGGGC